rnacentral:lncRNA from 1 species
AAAAGUAUCUAUACUACCGGCUUGAGCAAAGACAAUAGAUUUACCAAUGAGGAACUCAAAAGUCAACCCAAUAAUACCUCCUUUCUUCACCAAAUGAUCAUCAACCUCAGAUUUCUUCAAAUGAAGAGCUUCAGCUAGGAUAUGAGAUAUGGGAAUAUCCAGCUAGGAUAUGAAUUUACUGCUACACACACCACUGCCCGAUCUUUU